rnacentral:rRNA from 1 species
GACGAACGCUGGCGGCGUGCUUAACACAUGCAAGUCGAGCGGUAAGGCCCUUUCGGGGGUACACGAGCGGCGAACGGGUGAGUAACACGUGGGUGACCUGCCCUCAGCUCUGGGAUAAGCCUGGGAAACCGGGUCUAAUACUGGAUAUGACUCCAUGACGCAUGUUGUGGGGUGGAAAGCCUUGUGCGGCUGAGGAUGGGCCCGCGGCCUAUCAGCUUGUUGGUGGGGU